AUUGAACGCUGGCGGCAGGCCUAACACAUGCAAGUCGAACGAGUGGCGGACGGGUGAGUAAUGUCUGGGAAACUGCCCGAUGGAGGGGGAUAACUACUGGAAACGGUAGCUAAUACCGCAUACUAUCGGAUGUGCCCAUAUGGGAUUAGCUAGUAGGUGGGGUAAAGGCUAACCUAGGCGACGAUCUCUAGCUGGUCUGAGAGGAUGACCAGCCACACUGGAACUGAGACACGGCCCAGACUCCAACGGGAGGCAGCAGUGGGGAAUAUUGCACAAUGAGCGCAGGCCUGAUGCAGCCAUGCCGCGUAUAUGAAGAAGGCCUUCGGGUUGUAAAGUACUUUCAGCGGGGAGGCGUGACCCGCAGAAGAAGCACCGGCUAACUCCGUGCCAGCAGCCGCGGUAAUUC
rnacentral:rRNA from 1 species